GCAAGGCUACAGGAAAGAGCUGGGCAGUGUUGAGAUUCAACGAAUGUGCCAAUCACUUAAGGAGUUAGAAUGUUAUUGAAUGAAUACAUUCAGCAGACGAAGAACUGUUAUAAUGGUAUCAGUGGGAGAGUUACUGUCUACGCUUGAAGCGUAGGAAGAUUGCUCAGGCCACAGUCUGAGAAGAGAACUACGUGAGAGGCAGAGAGAACGGUUGUGGUGAAAGACCAAAAUGGCCCAAAUUAAAGUCGCUUUGUGUGAACCAGGAGAAAUGGACAGAUUCAAGGCCUGUUUGGAUGAUGAAUUCAUAGCACAAAGAAGAGGUCACAGGAGCACACAGCAAGAAGGCAGCCAUCUGCAACCCUGUGGAGGAGACCUCCCCAGACAUUAACCAUGCUGGCACCUUGAUCUUGGACUUCUAGUCUCUGGGACUGUGAGAAAAUACAUUUCGGUUGUCUCAGCCACUCAGUCUGAAGAAUUUUGUUAUGUCAGCUCGAGCAGAUUGAUGCGGCUAUUGAGAUACAGCGGUUUCUAUUCUGUUUAUGUUUCCUUGUUUUGUUUCUGUUGUUGUUGUUGUUGUUUUGUCCUGGGCAUGUAGACCAAAGCCAAUAGGCAAGGUCACUUCAUUACUAGGAACCAAGUCUAAUCAUUGCACUAGAAAAUACUUAACUUUAUGCAUCCAGCUUUUUAGAAAAUUGUAUUUCAACUCAUUACAGGAUUUUCAUAGUGUAUCACAAGAUUUAUGUUGAGAGGAAAAGAGCCCUAAAGUUUCAAGAUAAUUGAAUUCUGGAAAAUGAGAAAAGUAGUCAAUUUUUAUAAAUUAGUAGGUAGCAUCUAUUUUUUCUUUUUUUGGUACUAAAAUUAUUGCAUUUUUAUUUUUACCUUAUUUUGUACCAAGAUGGGUCUAAAUGUCAUGGUGACUCAUUUCAAAACUUGCAUUUUCAUUUGUGAUUAAUCCCACCUACACUGAAAAGUUUUUGCUUGAUUUUUCUACUGAGGUGUGGGUUCCAAGCCUCGGUAUCCUAUGGAUGUACAAUUGUCCAAUGUAAGUUGUCAACUGUUAUAUUUGGGAGUGAAAGUAGAAACUACAGGGAUCAAAAAUGAGUUGGCAAGUUUUCUUUUCCUGAAGGAUGAAUCACUGGAGAAGUGCCAGUGAAUAGAAAAAAAAAAUUUCACCAAAAGAAAUAAUAACCAACAAGCCAUGUUCUACUGUCUUAAAACAAAGAAAAGCCAUUUAUCUCAGGGCACAUAUUGAUGCUGAAAAUGAUUCAACUUCACCACAUCAUAAGCGGAACCGUCAGAAGCAUAUUCCUGGAAACCAAAGCCUCUUGGGAGAAAGUUCAAGAAGCUGAAAAGAGCCAUGCAGUUCAAUUAUCCUGAUUCUUCAGUUUCCAUCUGUAUGAAACAGGCCACGCAGCAGAGACAUAGACACAUCAGAAUUCCCAUCUGCACUGCAAUAAACACUACUUAGGAGAAUCAGUCUCAGCUGGACCAAACCUCUCAGUCCCACUCGAUGUCAUCUGUGCCAAGCCAAGACUCUAUUCAAAAUACUUGGAAUACCUCAGUGAACAAAAGAUCCAUGAUUUCAUGGGCCUGCCUCUACCUAAGGGAGGCAGGUUUCCAAGAACAAAUGGAUGAAAAAACAACAACAACAACAACAAAAACUGCCAUGAAUUCCACAGACACAAAGAAAUGAAUUCUGCAAGCAAUUCAAGGGCAAUCUAUAACCUCACUGACUUGAGAUCCUGAGGAGGACCCAGUCCUGGCUGCCACCUGGAUUGCCCUGUGAUAUCCUCAACAGAGAACCCAUCCAACCUGUGUCAGGGCUCCUGACCCACAGAAGCUGUGAGAAAAUAAAUGAGUGUUUUUUUUUUUAAGGUUCCAAGUCCUUGGUAAUUAGUUAUGCAACAUAGACAGCUAAUACACUACUUUAUUCUCUGAUUCUAGACCACUGUCAAGAUAUAAAACAUCCUACAAAUUGCUUGGAACUACUAAACCACGAAUAGUUAUUGUGGCUUUUAUACUCAGAGCAGCUGGUUUUAGGAAACCGGUAACUACCAGGGGAACACAUUCUACCCUAUAUACACAAAAAACAUAUGUGAGAUGUUACCAUAAUGUUUCUUUUCUUACUGAUGUGUAAUAUCCAUAUCUGCUUAAUAGCCAGGGGCAGUAAAUGGACACAUCUUGUAAAAAGGUUUCAAGGGGAAAUAAAUUAAAAGCGCAAUAUAAGCAUUAGGCACAAAUUUCCUUUAUAUGGCAUUGCAUUAUUGCAGUAUCUGUCCAUGUGUCUGUCAUGGGUUAAAUCAAAACAUUAAUAUAAACAUUUUCUGCAAAAUCCUGGAUAACUAAGAAGGAAGGGAACAGUUACAUAAAAUGCUAAAGGGGCUCAUAGUAACAGGCAUGACUUUACGGCUUUACGAAUUUUUUCUAAGCUUUAUUUAUUUAUUCUCUUAUUUUGUGCUAUUUUCAAGUCUGUUUUCUCCCUUCCCCCGUCACCGUUUCACAGAUAAGUAGCUGAACAGCACCUAAAGGCAAUUGUGAUAUGGUGGCCUCACCAUGAAAUUGUCAUUUUCCAAGUUUUCCUACAAUGCUUUGCGCUUAGCAACUUAAAUCUAGCUCCUUCUUUUUAGAAACAUUUUCCUUCAUGUCGUGUACCCUCCCCAAGUGGAUUACUUAUAUUCCCCUAAAGAGUUUUCCAGGCUACUGUAUUUAGAGUCACUGAUAUUUUAUUUUCUCACUCAGAAAUACAAUUCAGUUUCAUUGAGGCCACACUUUACAUCUGUAAAAACAUCUUGACCACAUGUAAUCUAACAAUGUUGUUAGCUGCUUUUAUUUUGCAUUGCUUAAAGAUGAGUUUUGAAAAGAAUAGCUUUCUAAUAUGGUUAUGUGGUAAGCAGAAUAAUGCCCCUUCCCAAAGAUAUCUACCUCUUAAUCCCUAGAACCUGUAAAUAUGUACUUUACACACAGUAAAAGGGACUUUGCACAUGUGAUUAAGUGUCUUGAGAUGGGGAGAUUAUCCUAGAUUAUCUGAGUAUGCCCAAUGUAUUCACAAGGGCUCUUAUAAUAAAGAAACUCCUAGAUAGAAGAUGGAAGCAGAUUGAGCCAGAGAGAUCAAGGCUGCAGUGAGCCGCGAUCGCACCACUGCACUGAAGCCUAGCCAACAGCACGAGAAACUGUCUCAAAACAAAAACAAAAACAAAACAGAGAAUAAAAGAAAACUGAAGCAGACACUAGAAAGCAGGUAAAAUUCUAUGCAGCUGGCUGUGAACAUAGAGAAGAGGGAGUUAGGAGCUAAGAAAUGUAGGCAUCCUCUAGAAGCCAAAAUGGAAAAGAGAAAAGUUCCCUCCCAGAGCCUCCAAAAGCAACACAACCCUCCGGACCCAUUUUAGACUUUUCACCUCCAGGACUGUAAAAGAAUAAAUGCAUGUUGUUUUGAGCUAAAUUUGUGAUAAUCACAGCAAUAGGAAAGUAAUACAAUUUAUAACAAAAUGAUAAAAUUAGUUUAGAAGGUUCAGAAAUUAAAGGACUUACGGACUUCCAUAAUCUGAAAGAUUCAAAGUGACUAAGUAUCUCUCUUUGAUAUGUGAAAAGGUUAAUAACUUUUGUCUUUGUAUAGUUAAUAACAUGUUUUUUUCUUAGAGUAAAAGCAUCUCAUUUAUGGGUUGGCCUAGCCCAUACUGGGGAUGUGUGCUAUUUCCUCACCAAUUUAAGGCCUACAGCCCUUCGCCAAGGACAGGUUUUUAAAAAUAUUUUAAGCAAUAAUGAAAUCAAGAGAUGAUCUGGAUCUGGAUAAGAAGAACAUUAAAGAUUUUGCCAGAAGCCUGGACCAAACUUGUGGGGACUGUCAUUUUGUAUUUGUGUGGAGACUUCUCUGCUCUACGAAUUUCCUUCUACAGGGAAGAAUGUCUAGACCCACGGGCACAUCUAGUCAAAACUCUGUUACCUGAUUGAGCACAUGGAGGAACAUGAAUCCUUCUUGACUUAUGGCAACAGCAAAUGCAACAACAAAAUUCAAAAUUAGAGCUCUAACCGGAGAAGGCCAUUUAAUAGAAAGUUUACAGAUAUUGCAUAAGUAGAUACACAUCUUAUUUAGGUAAGAGCUUGAUGAUGUUGUGCUUCGCUUAAUAGACCCUUGCAGACGGUAGUCUCUAAAUCCCAUCUGGUUCUCAUGAUAAAGAAAAUUAAACUGUAGGUGGGAGUCAAGGAAGAGAGCCUCAGAAUUUUUCUUUAACAACUUGAUUUUCCUCUACAACAAUUUGAGAAAAUAUGUGAAUUAAUUCUUCCUUGGAUCGACAUCUUGAAAGUUCCCUAUCAGAGCUGAAACCUUCCUUCCUGUGACUCAGAACCUAGGCUUACCAUAUUAAGGACACAUGCCUUUGGCAGCAUGACCAUAAUAAUUCACAAAUAUAAGAAUCCUUGUGUUUAUGGUAUCAGCAUAUAGGUGCCCUUAAUGCCUCUCUCACUCCAAUUUUGAAUUAAUAGUUUUCUUCUGUGUACCAUAAUAAAAGUGGAG
rnacentral:lncRNA from 1 species